rnacentral:misc_RNA from 1 species
GAUGAAGAACGUAGCGAAAUGCGAUAAGUAAUGUGAAUUGCAGAAUUCAGUGAAUCAUCGAAUCUUUGAACGCACAUUGCGCCCCUUGGUAUUCCGAGGGGCAUGCCUGUUCGAGCGUCAUUUUGACCACUCCCGCUUGCGGGGUCUUGGGCCUUCGCCUCUGGGCGGGCCUUAAAAUCAGUGGCGGUGCCGUCCGGCUCUAAGCGUAGUAAAUCUCCUCGCUAUAGGGUUCCGGAGGGAUGCUGGCCAACAACCCCCAACUUUUAAGGUUGACCUCGGAUCAGGUAGGACUACCCGCUGAACUUAAGCAUAUCAAUAAGCGGAGGA